ACCCUACGGGAGGCAGCAGUAGGGAAUCUUCUACAAUGGACGAAAGUCUGAUGGAGCAACGCCGCGUGAGUGAAGAAGGGUUUCGGCUCGUAAAGCUCUGUUGGUAGUGAAGAAAGAUAGAGGUAGUAACUGGCCUUUAUUUGACGGUAAUUACUUAGAAAGUCACGGCUAACUACGUGCCAGCAGCCGCGGUAAUACGUAGGUGGCAAGCGUUGUCCGGAUUUAUUGGGCGUAAAGCGAGUGCAGGCGGGUUAAUAAGUCUGUUGUGAAAGCCUUCGGCUCAACCGGGGGAGUGUAUCAGAAAA
rnacentral:rRNA from 1 species